rnacentral:rRNA from 1 species
UUCAGUCGUGAGGAAGGUAGUGUAGUUAAUAGCUGCAUUAUUUGACGUUAGCGACAGAAGAAGCACCGGCUAACUCCGUGCCAGCAGCCGCGGUAAUACGGAGGGUGCGAGCGUUAAUCGGAAUUACUGGGCGUAAAGCGCAUGCAGGUGGUUUGUUAAGUCAGAUGUGAAAGCCCGGGGCUCAACCUCGGAAUUGCAUUUGAAACUGGCAGACUAGAGUACUGUAGAGGGGGGUAGAAUUUCAGGUGUAGCGGUGAAAUGCGUAGAGAUCUGAAGGAAUACCGGUGGCGAAGGCGGCCCCCUGGACAGAUACUGACACUCAGAUGCGAAAGCGUGGGGAGCAAACAGGAUUAGAUACCCUGGUAGUCCACGCCGUAAACGAUGUCUACUUGGAGGUUGUGGCCUUGAGCCGUGGCUUUCGGAGCUAACGCGUUAAGUAGACCGCCUGGGGAGUACGGUCGCAAGAUUAAAACUCAAAUGAAUUGACGGGGGCCCGCACAAGCGGUGGAGCAUGUGGUUUAAUUCGAUGCAACGCGAAGAACCUUACCUACUCUUGACAUCCAGAGAACUUUCCAGAGAUGGAUUGGUGCCUUCGGGAACUCUGAGACAGGUGCUGCAUGGCUGUCGUCAGCUCGUGUUGUGAAAUGUUGGGUUAAGUCCCGCAACGAGCGCAACCCUUAUCCUUGUUUGCCAGCGAGUAAUGUCGGGAACUCCAGGGAGACUGCCGGUGAUAAACCGGAGGAAGGUGGGGACGACGUCAAGUCAUCAUGGCCCUUACGAGUAGGGCUACACACGUGCUACAAUGGCGCAUACAGAGGGCAGCCAACUUGCGAAAGUGAGCGAAUCCCAAAAAGUGCGUCGUAGUCCGGAUUGGAGUCUGCAACUCGACUCCAUGAAGUCGGAAUCGCUAGUAAUCG